CCAUCAUCACUACGUGGGACUUGAGUUAACUCUGUUUGGAUGCUGGGUUCAAAAUAAAAUGAGCAGAAUUAUGUAGAAAUUUUAUGUAUGAUGUAUACCUCACAAAUUAAACCCUCGGUAUGAGGCUUAUUCCGCACAUUCUUUUUCAAAUCAUGCAUAUACCUAAUUUAUAUAAACACCAUUAAAAAAUUAACAUAUGACAACUUAGCAUGCUUAGAGUUAAAUUAAAAGCUUAUAAAAAUUUAGGAGACUUACGUCUCAAAAGAAUACAUCCAAUGAUAUUGCACGGGCCCAUCAACUUUUGUCUCAUAGGUUAGGUG
rnacentral:lncRNA from 1 species